rnacentral:lncRNA from 1 species
AGACCAGCGGGCCAUGACAAGCUCCAGGCUUUGGUUUUCGCUGCUGCUGGCGGCAGCGUUCGCAGGACGGGCGACGGCCCUCUGGCCCUGGCCUCAGAACUUCCAAACCUCCGACCAGCGCUACGUCCUUUACCCGAACAACUUUCAAUUCCAGUACGAUGUCAGCUCGGCCGCGCAGCCCGGCUGCUCAGUCCUCGACGAGGCCUUCCAGCGCUAUCGUGACCUGCUUUUCGGUUCCGGGUCUUGGCCCCGUCCUUACCUCACAGGGAAACGGCAUACACUGGAGAAGAAUGUGUUGGUUGUCUCUGUAGUCACACCUGGAUGUAACCAGCUUCCUACUUUGGAGUCAGUGGAGAAUUAUACCCUGACCAUAAAUGAUGACCAGUGUUUACUCCUCUCUGAGACUGUCUGGGGAGCUCUCCGAGUUCUUUAUCAACAAGACUGAGAUUGAGGACUUUCCCCGCUUUCCUCACCGGGGCUUGCUGUUGGAUACAUCUCGCCAUUACCUGCCACUCUCUAGCAUCCUGGACACUCUGGAUGUCAUGGCGUACAAUAAAUUGAACGUGUUCCACUGGCAUCUGGUAGAUGAUCCUUCCUUCCCAUAUGAGAGCUUCACUUUUCCAGAGCUCAUGAGAAAGGGGUCCUACAACCCUGUCACCCACAUCUACACAGCACAGGAUGUGAAGGAGGUCAUUGAAUACGCACGGCUCCGGGGUAUCCGUGUGCUUGCAGAGUUUGACACUCCUGGCCACACUUUGUCCUGGGGACCAGGUAUCCCUGGAUUACUGACUCCUUGCUACUCUGGGUCUGAGCCCUCUGGCACCUUUGGACCAGUGAAUCCCAGUCUCAAUAAUACCUAUGAGUUCAUGAGCACAUUCUUCUUAGAAGUCAGCUCUGUCUUCCCAGAUUUUUAUCUUCAUCUUGGAGGAGAUGAGGUUGAUUUCACCUGCUGGAAGUCCAACCCAGAGAUCCAGGACUUUAUGAGGAAGAAAGGCUUCGGUGAGGACUUCAAGCAGCUGGAGUCCUUCUACAUCCAGACGCUGCUGGACAUCGUCUCUUCUUAUGGCAAGGGCUAUGUGGUGUGGCAGGAGGUGUUUGAUAAUAAAGUAAAGAUUCAGCCAGACACAAUCAUACAGGUGUGGCGAGAGGAUAUUCCAGUGAACUAUAUGAAGGAGCUGGAACUGGUCACCAAGGCCGGCUUCCGGGCCCUUCUCUCUGCCCCCUGGUACCUGAACCGUAUAUCCUAUGGCCCUGACUGGAAGGAUUUCUACAUAGUGGAACCCCUGGCAUUUGAAGGUACCCCUGAGCAGAAGGCUCUGGUGAUUGGUGGAGAGGCUUGUAUGUGGGGAGAAUAUGUGGACAACACAAACCUGGUCCCCAGGCUCUGGCCCAGAGCAGGGGCUGUUGCCGAAAGGCUGUGGAGCAACAAGUUGACAUCUGACCUGACAUUUGCCUAUGAACGUUUGUCACACUUCCGCUGUGAAUUGCUGAGGCUGCAAGGGAGACGAAUGUGUCUGAGGCUCAGGGGUAAGAAAGUGGUUAAAGACACCGAAGACAGAGAUGUGUGAUGGGGCGGGGUGGGAUUGGCUCCGAGGGACUGGCUCGAUAGUGGGAAUAGAGAAGAGGAAUCCCCAUCCACCCCCGCAGGAAACGCACCAGCGUUUGGAGGUGUGUGUGCCUGCGUGUGCCUGCGUUUGCCUGUGUGUGCCUGUGUGUGCGGUGGGGAUUAGCCCCGACUCCGGCAGACACCAUCACGCAUGACGAAGCUGCUUCCCCUCACGCGGCCCAAGGCGCACACGCGCGAUCCACGGCCACGCCCGCACACACUCGACACACACAGGGCAUUCGAGGGUCCGGUUGCCAUGGCGAGCAGGAGCGCGUGAGCCCAGCCGCCCCCCCCGCCCCCGGCGAGCCCAGUCAACUCCCACUCUGAUUGGCGGCUGCUUCCUCAUUAUGCAAAUCAUUUGCGUAGACUCGGCGGCCAGCUGC